rnacentral:snRNA from 1 species
GUGCUUGUUUCAACAGCACAUAUACUAAAACUGGAAUGAUUCAGAGAUUAGCAUGGCCCCUGAGCAAGGAGGACAUGCAAAUUCAUGAAGGAAAAAAAAAAAAA